GAUGAACGCUGGCGGCGUGCCUAAUACAUGCAAGUCGAACGAUCGACUUCGGUCGAUAGUGGCGAACGGGUGAGAAACGCGUUGGUGACCUGCCCCGAAGAGAGGGAUAACAGGCCGAAAGGCCUGCUAAUACCGCAUGAGCUAGCCAAAGAUUAGGAAUUGGCUAGGAAAGGAGAAAUCCGCUUUGGGAGGGGCCUGCGUCCCAUCAGCUAGUUGGUGAGGUAAAAGCUUACCAAGGCGACGACGGGUAGGGGGCCUGAGAGGGUGACCCCCCACACUGGCACUGAAACACGGGCCAGACACCUACGGGUGGCAGCAGUAGGGAAUAUUGCACAAUGGGCGAAAGCCUGAUGCAGCAACGCCGCGUGCGCGAUGAAGGCCUUCGGGUCGUAAAGCGCUUUUUGGGGAGACGAGGAAGGACGGUAUCCCCAGAAGAAGGAUCGGCUAACUACGUGCCAGCAGCCGCGGUAAGAC
rnacentral:rRNA from 1 species